UUUGAAAACUGCGACGUUUCUUUAAAACCUUGUGAUACUGAAAAAGAUGCAUUGUAUUUAAAAUGUGGAGCAUGCGGUGGAAAGUACACUUCCGAGUUUGGUGUUGUUGAGCCGCCUCCACAACUACCUGGAAACACGCUGUGUUCCUUUUUGUUGUCACCAACCAAUGCCAAAACUAUUAACGCAACAUUUAUCACAUUUUCAAUCGGUUCGAAAGAUGAAAUUAGAUCCAAUAGAUGUGAUGACACCAAUGUUGAGAUAUUUGAUGGUUCAAAUAAAGACGCACCUUUCCUUGGACGAUUCUGUCACAACAAAGGAAACUUUACAAUAAAUUCCUCUGGAAGUUCAUUAUAUUUCGUCUAUCAAACGUCUAGAGAUUCAACAAAGCAAGAUUUUCAACUGAUCUUUGAAACCAAAGAGGCUGAGAGAGAUCUCAGUGCACUUGGAAAACAAUGUGCUGACGACAUCCAAUGUAAAGCAAACAAUGUUACAUGUGUAGACAACGUGUGCAAAUGUGAAAUCGACUUUUAUCAAUGGGAUGAAUCGUCUUGCGCUAAAAAAAAGGCUUGGAAUUCUACUUGCAAUGAAAGCAAUGAAUGCAGAACCGAAUUUUGCAAUGACUUGGAUAAACUGUGUCUCUGUCCACCAAAUACAAUCAUUGAUGGAGAUAACAAUAGUUGUCUGAAUGUUACGAAGAUAACAGGAAUUUCAACAUCUUCGCCCAAGUAUUGGAUGAUUCCUAUCCUCCUGUUCGUUUUCUUGAUAAUCGUUCUCGUUAUAGCGGCCACAAUAGUAUUUACCAGAAGAAAAGGAUAUUGUCUAAAGCGUCGAAAUCAGAAAACUGCCUAUACGUAUUCUGAACUGAUGUCAGCAUCCAGCUCUCUCUAUGGAAUGUCAACAGAAGACAGAAGCUUACAACGGAGUUCUGGUAUAACAAUUAACGAAUCAGCGCAGGAUGAUGAUACAGGACUUAUAGAAAUGUCACAGUCAUGACAAGGAAACUGAUUUCACGAAGAAGAUUUCGACGGCAAAUCUUUAGGUGGAGUUUUGUCCAAAUUGUAAAGUGAAAAUAACGUGACAUAUUCCAAAUCAAGAUUAUAUUGUAAAAAAGAAAAACUUUAUGCCGUUGUGUUGUAAAGUUACCUUCUUUAUGCAUGAAGUAUAUUGGCAUUUGUUCUACCGUGUAGUUGUUUUCUUAGAAAGUUCUCAAUUGAAGAAUAUUUGUUCAGAAAACUGUAAAAUUACAAUAAUUAUGAGAGCCAUAUGCUUAAAGAUAAAGUCAUUAAUAAAUUAAUAAAGGAGUCUUAAUUUAUAGUUCCGAUAUGGUCAAUAUUAUCUUCUAUAUCAAGUUAUUAUUCAUUGCAUGCAUCAUGUUAAAUCAAGAAUUUUCCAUUUUAACAACUGAAUACGGAUUAUUGUUAAAGUAUCGUAUUGACAUUUUAUGUACGUAAAAUGUUACAUGCAAAUGAAACAUCAGUCAUGUACAUUUUCAUAAUAAAAAAGUAUUUUACU
rnacentral:misc_RNA from 1 species